rnacentral:rRNA from 1 species
AUUGAACGCUGGCGGCAUGCCUUACACAUGCAAGUCGAACGGCAGCACGGGAGCAAUCCUGGUGGCGAGUGGCGAACGGGUGAGUAAUAUAUCGGAACGUGCCCAGUCGUGGGGGAUAACGUAGCGAAAGCUACGCUAAUACCGCAUACGAUCUCUGGAUGAAAGCGGGGGAUCGCAAGACCUCGCGCGAUUGGAGCGGCCGAUAUCAGAUUAAGUAGUUGGUGAGGUAAAGGCUCACCAAGCCGACGAUCUGUAGCUGGUCUGAGAGGACGACCAGCCACACUGGGACUGAGACACGGCCCAGACUCCGACAGGAGUCAGCAGUGGGGAAUUUUGGACAGUGUGCGCAAGCCUGAUCCAGCAAUGCCGCGUGCAAGAUGAAGGACUUCGGGUUGUAAACUGCUUUUGUACGGAACGAAACGGCGAGCUCUAAUACAGUUUGCUAAUGACGGUACCGUAAGAAUAAGCACCGGCUAACUACGUGCCAGCCGCCGCGGUAA